UACGUAGGGUGCGAGCGUUAAUCGGAUUUACUGGGCGUAAAGCGUGCGCAGGCGGCCCGUUCAGACAGGUGUGAAAUCCCUGGGCUCAACCUAGGAAUUGCGCUUGUGACUGGCGGGCUCGAGUACGGUAGAGGGGGGUGGAAUUCCUGGUGUAGCAGUGAAAUGCGUAGAGAUCAGGAGGAACACCGAUGGCGAAGGCAGCCCCCUGGGCCUGUACUGACGCUCAUGCACGAAAGCGUGGGGAGCAAACAGG
rnacentral:rRNA from 1 species